AGCAGCUCGUCGACAGCACGAGCCAGAAGAAAAGUUUAGUUUCGCCCACGAGGGACAAAAGUGCGGAAAAGUAUUAUCUCCCGUCGAAGUAACGCGGAAUUGUGAAACAAAUAUUCUCAGUCGUCUUAGUUGGACGCGUGAACGAUAAAAGAGUCCGACGAGCACCAAGAUUCGCGCGCUACAACACGUGGAAAUCAUCAUCCGACGACGAGAGGAAUACUCCAUUAUACCACCCGUGAUCCAUUGCGACGAAUAUAUUCUGAAAACGAGCAGUAAUUGAAUGAUUGAAAGAUCAGAUCCGCAUGAUAGGAUUGGGACAAAACCGGAUCACAAUCAGCGCAAAACGGACAGGGUCAUCGGAGUCUAAUCAAGAAGCGUUCCAAGAGACAGAAACACCCCCUCAAUCGGGGUGUUUUAACGGAACCAGAAAACCUUGAUCGGGGGCUUUUCCCGGCUUGGGCCGAAGCAGUAGCCUGGCGGCUGGAAGCCGAUCGACAACGGGAAGGAGGUCAACACUCGCUUGACGACGGAACUGUGUCCGCUGGAUCCAUUGCAAAGCUGCAACCAAAGCAGUAAGCCGGCGGUGGGAAGCCGAUUUCCGACGCGGUGAAGAACGACACUCUCGCCUCGACGACGGGACUGUGAUCGUGGGAUCAGUCGUACAGCAGCGACCGGAGCAGAAAGGAGGUGGCCGGAAAUCGAUCGUUAACAAGAGGGAGUGCGAAACCCUCGCAUCGACAGCGGAAGUGCCUCGGAGAUACCCCAUCCAGGUACCAGGUCGCACUGGACGGCCAGAGGGGUAUCCAGCAGAGGACAGAAGCAGCGUGGGUGGAGCAAGUACGGUGUGCGGCAUGCAAGGAGUCGCGGCGGUUUGUGUUCCGCUGUGCAAGGGCACGAGAUGAAUUAGGGGGACGCCCCAAGUGAAAAGGGAAAACCGUGAGUACGGAAAUGCUAGUGUAAGGAAGUAAAUAGAAGGAAGGAGAAAAGGAAAGUUGGGUAGGAGGUAGGAAGACAAGAGAAAUAUGGGGAUAAAACCCUAAAUAUAUGUACAAAAUGAAAUUUGCGGCUUUCUUGUUUAUUUCGGUGCAUUAGCCCUACAGUUUUGUGUAGUUUAAGUCCACUCUGGUAGCUCCGCUCGAUCCGCUA